rnacentral:rRNA from 1 species
CUACGUGCCAGCAGCCGCGGUAAUACGUAGGGCGCGAGCGUUGUCCGGAAUUAUUGGGCGUAAAGGGCUUGUAGGCGGUUGGUCGCGUCUGCCGUGAAAUCCUCUGGCUUAACUGGGGGCGUGCGGUGGGUACGGGCUGACUUGAGUGCGGUAGGGGAGACUGGAACUCCUGGUGUAGCGGUGGAAUGCGCAGAUAUCAGGAAGAACACCGGUGGCGAAGGCGGGUCUCUGGGCCGUUACUGACGCUGAGGAGCGAAAGCGCGGGGAGCGAACAGGAUUAGAUACCCUGGUAGUCCACGCUGUAAACGUUGGGCACUAGGUGUGGGGGCCACCCGUGGUUUCUGCGCCGUAGCUAACGCUUUAAGUGCCCCGCCUGGGGAGUACGGCCGCAAGGCUAAAACUCAAAGGAAUUGACGGGGGCCCGCACAAGCGGCGGAGCAUGCGGAUUAAUUCGAUGCAACGCGAAGAACCUUACCAAGGCUUGACAUGC